CUCUGUGACUCCUACGGGAGGCAGCAGUGGGGGAAUAUUGCACAAUGGGCGCAAGCCUGAUGCAGCAACGCCGUGUGAGUGUAAGAAGGUUUUCGGAUCGUAAAACUCUGUCCUAAGGGAAGAAACAAAUGACGGUACCUUAGGAGGAAGCCCCGGCUAACUACGUGCCAGCAGCCGCGGUAAUACGUAGGGGGCAAGCGUUAUCCGGAAUCACUGGGCGUAAAGGGUGCGGUAGGCGGCUUAGCAAGCCAGGGGUGAAAGGCAUUGGCUCAACCAAUGUAAGCCUUUGGAACUGUUAAGCUUGAGUGCAGGAGAGGUAAGUGGAAUUCCUAGUGUAGAGGUGAAAUUCGUAGAUAUUAGGAGGAACACCAGUGGCGAAGGCGACUUACUGGACUGUAACUGACGCUGAUGCACGAAAGCGUGGGUAGCGAACAGGAUUAGAUACCCUGGUAG
rnacentral:rRNA from 1 species